rnacentral:misc_RNA from 1 species
AACUUUCAACAACGGAUCACUUGGUUCUCGCAUCGAUGAAGAACGCAGCAAAAUGCGAUAAGUAUUGUGAAUUGCAGAAUUUUGUGAAUCAUCGAAUUUUUGAACGCACAUUGCACCUUCUGGUAUUCCGGAGGGUAUACCUGUUUGAGCGUCAUUUAUAUACUCAAAACUUCGUUUUGGUUGUGGGCACGUAUCCGGCGUAGGCUAGAUUUGCCUGAAAUAUAGAGGUAGAGAUCGCUACAAGUGAUGCAAGUUAGCCAAUGCUAUUAAGUUAAUUCGUUGGUGAAGCAUGUGGAGCUUUAGUGAUAGUCUUCCUUAAUUAUUGGAAUUUUUCUAAUUUUGACCUCAAAUCAGGCAGGAGUACCCGCUGAACUUAAGCAUAUCAAUAAGCGGAGGCU